AGUCAUGAAGAGUGCCUCUAUGAAGCCGGUGACGAGUGGUAUCACCUUCUCUUUCUCAAGAGGUCUGUCCAAGGGGGAGAAAAAGGGAAAAGUUCAAACUGGCAUUCAAUGGUUUGUUUCAGAGAACAGCAAGGAAUGGCUAACAUAUUUUAAUCAGCAUGUUAUCUCUUUCAAAAUUAAACAUAGCUUAUUUUCUUACCUAAUAUGAGGUAACACCACGAGGGCUGCCCAAGAUUGUGAAAGGUAAGUAGUAUCUUUAUUUGGGGGUAACUUAAUUAUAGAUAAAAGAUGGUCCAAUACUGGAAACUGUUCGUUUCUUCCCUUGGAUCUAGUCUUCUUCUGCUUUAUAUAGAAUCUGAAGGAUUAAAAAAAAUGUUUAAAAUAACAGAGAAUGUAAUCGCUCUUGCCCUCUGAAGUCUGAAAUAAAAUUGGAUUCUUACCAUUGUGGAGCAUUAGAGGGAAGGAAUUGGUGGUGGUGGUUGAGCUAAACAAAUGUGAGUCAUUUACUGAGUUUUCAGUGAGAAGCUUUUUCAACUCCACUGGCUCUACUUCCUUUCACUUCUAUUUUAAUUUGCUUUAUAACUUAAACCAAGUUUCUUCUAGUUUUAAGUAUGAUUUCUCAAUUUUGUGCUCCUGGGCAUGUUUUUGAUUGACAAUUCACUGGAAUGAACUGACUUCCUCCAUUCUCCCUUUCCUUUUUGACAUGAAUUUUACUACUUUCCACAAAUGUAGAAUGAUGUUGCAAAGUUACUGUGAUGAAGUUGACGAAUACCACUAAAAUGAUUAUGACAUAUAAGUAAUUUUCUCCUGCUGCUUUGAUCAGAUACACAGUUGCUCAAUGACAUUUUUCGACAUGACAUUCUGUUUUGAAUAUCUGUGACUCUGGUCACAGAUUAGAUAGAGGCUAACUAUUCUUGUUAGCCUCUUUUUAUUUUUGCCAAUGUACUACAC
rnacentral:lncRNA from 1 species